UGAAGAAACCUCCAUCUUGUCUUUCUCCUGUGGAAGGAGAGCUGGCGCCCAGGGACAGGUGAAGGCCUGUCCUGGCCUUGUUUAUCGAGGAUGAUUUUUCUUGCUCCCCCCGGGCGAGUCGGAGAAUGGCACGUGGAUUCGGACUACCUGUAAUAAGGUGAUGGGGAAACUCUCGGCUGAUCCCCAAAGUGUGGGCCCCCGGACGUGAGUAGGAGCCAAGCGGGUGGAGCAAGAGAACAAGGCAUGGUCCACCGGCCGAUGCCGGAGAGCUGCAUGUCUCCUCUAGCUGCAGUCUCCAUCGAUUCCUCUUCCGGGAAGCCGUUGACGGAACACGGCCUCUGCUCUGGUCUGAUUCUCCACUUGCAAGAUCUCCAGGUGGACUAUGUGACUCCGGACUCCCUCUGUCCACGCGCGGUCGGUUGCGCUGGUAACAACAGCGCAAGGAUCUGAGAAGUCCUGAUUCCCAGGCGCGCCAUCUGCCCUCGGUGCUGCCCAUCGCCGCUCCAGGCCCUCUUGGUGGUCGACCCCAGAGGACGCAGCACCUACUCUUCUGACUCCUCCUGAAACUCCAGCCACAAGUAUUUGAUAGUGUCCCCCUUCCCCAGAUGGUGGUCUGUGCCAAGCACCCGGGAGGGACCGCUGUCCAGGUGCUGGAGAUGAGAGGUGCAGGCUGCGGAUCAGACACUGCACAGCGGGGCAGCUGGGUUGACCUCUCUGUGUGGGGGGACAGUGGCCUGCCCCUUUGGGGGUCAGCCUGAGAAGAAGGAUGGGAGUUGUGACCGAGGGGUGUGGCCAAGCACAAAGGGCAGAUUUAUCCUCUUUGAAUAUUGCUCUGGGAAUAUUCCUCUUCAUUUAAGAAAAUUAA